rnacentral:rRNA from 1 species
GAUGAACGCUGGCGGCGUGCCUAACACAUGCAAGUCGAACGUGAAACCCGAUGCUUGCAUUGGGUAGAAAGUGGCGAACGGGUGAGUUACACGUUGGUGACCUGCCCCGAGGUGGGGAAUAACUCUGGGAAACCAGAGCUAAUGCCCCGGAUGUCAAGGAGUUUAGACGCCCUUGACUAAAGUUCUGGCGCCUCGGGAGGGGCCUGCGGGCUAUCAGCUUGUUGGUGGGGUAAUGGCCUACCAAGGCUAAGACGGCUAGGGGGCGUGAGAGCGCGACCCCCCACAAUGGGACUGAGACACGGCCCAUACUCCUACGGGAGGCAG